rnacentral:rRNA from 1 species
AUUGAACGCUGGCGGCAUGCCUUACACAUGCAAGUCGAACGGGGGUAGCAAUACUCUAGUGGCGAACGGGUGAGUAAAGCAUCGGGACGUACCCAGUCGUGGGGGAUAACGUAGCGAAAGUUACGCUAAUACCGCAUACGCUCUGAGGAUGAAAGCAGGGGACUCGCAAGAGCCUUGCGCGAUUGGAGCGGCCGAUGUCGGAUUAGCUCGUUGGUGGGGUAAAAGCCUACCAAGGCGACGAUCCGUAGCUGGUCUGAGAGGAUGAUCAGACACACUGGGGCUGAGACACGGCCCAGACUCCGACGGGCGGCAGCAAUGGGGAAGAUUGAACAAUGGGGGAAACCAUGAUCCAGCCAUGCCGCGUGAGUGAAGAAAGCCUACGGGUUGUAAAGCGCUUACAGACGGAAAGAGAUGGUCUUGGCUAAUACCCGAGAUCGAUGACGGUACCGUAAGAAGAAGCACCGGCUAACUACGUGCCAGCCGCCGCGGUAA